rnacentral:hammerhead_ribozyme from 1 species
ACUCAGCUGACGAGUCCCAAAUAGGACGAAACGCGCAUUCUGGAU